CAGAGGUGAUUCGUGGAAGAAGAGUACAUCUCUCAAAAGUUUGAGCCUUCCAGAGGGGUGGAUAUUCAGGAUUACCAAAACUGUGCCAAUUCUCUAACACGAAAAAAACAAAUUAAAUUGAAAUCAUGGUCAUAAAACUCCAAAGAAUAACUUAAUUUGAUAAAAGAAAAGGCAGAGCAAGCAAAAUUCAAAAUAACUGUGAAAAUACAAAACACCUGUUAUGGACAGCAAUAUCCUUGGAAAAUAGAAGAAGAAGAAGAAGCACACGCAAGAGAGAGAGAGCAACUUCCUCUCCCAGACGAAUUGGGAACUGGCUUUGGGAACUGGCUUUUUAUAGAGGUAUAACGGCUAUUUUUUAUCAAGAAAAAAAAAUAAUUCAAAUUAUGUAACCGAUUUUGCUUGGGAGAAAAAUAAUUUAUACGAUUAUUUUUUUAUCAGAAAAAUAAAGUAAUUUGAUUUCUGUAAUGUUUUUGCUUGGGAGAAAAGUAAAAAUGGAUUUUUUUUAUCAAAAAAAAAAAAAGAAAAGUUAUUUUCAAAACUUGACAAAUGGCAUUAUAGUUUGAUAAAGUUUCAUUUUGAUUUUGAACAAUAAAGGUCAAUAUGGUUGUGUUUAGAGAUUGGGCUUUGGCCUAUUUGGGCCUUGGGUAUUGGAUAGGUUUUGGUAGGCAUGCCUCCACGUGUUUAAUUUCAUCAACUAAAUAGUGGAUAGCGAUUGGGGAUUAUAUUGCAAAUGUUUUAAUGAUUGAUUGAAGUAACAAUGUGAGAAAACUAUUAGUAUGGGGUCAAAGUGAUAAAAAUCAAUACUAUUAAGGGUAAAAGUGUUACUAACCCAUUGAAAAACUUGAGUUCAUGAAUAUGUUCACGUUUUGAACAUUUAUACUGAUUUUGGGUUAAUCACACUUUGCCCCUCGUAAAGUAUUGACCAAUUCUAACUUUUGGCUGUCAAACUAAAAAAUUUCAUCACGUUGCAUCUAAACCUUGCAACAUGUACAAUGAGCCAAUACUAAACACCCAUUCCCAAGAUCCAAGAUCCUAUAUCCAUGACCCCAUCCCACUACCCUCAACCUUACACCCAAUCCCCGAACCCAACUCAUUCCUCAUCCCCACCCUCGACAAUUCCCUUCGUCCGAACACCAACACAGCCCCGCCCCUUCCCACCACCACUAUUCCUUCUAGCCCUAACCCGAGAGAGAGAGGGUUUUCAAAUUGGAAAGCAAUCUGAAAGAGAGAGAGGGUGCCCAAGAUCCAAGAUCCUAUAUUCAUGACUCAAUCCCACUAUCCUUAACCCUACACCCAAAUUCCCAAACCCAACCCAUUCCUCAUCUCCACCUUCAACAAUUCCCGGUCCGAACACCACCACAGCCUUGCCCCUUUCCACCACCACUGUUCCUUCUAGCCCUAACCCCUGGGGAGAGAGGGUUUUCAAAUUUGAGAGAAAUAGAAAAGAGAGAGGGUUUUGCAACCUGAAAAAUAGAGAGAGAGAGGGGCAAGGGGCGCGUUGGUCGUGACAUGUAAUUCGAUGAGAGAGAGGGGCAAGGGGCGCGUUGGUCGUGACACGUAAUUCGAUGGUUGUUCGCGAUUUCGUGGAGGUUGUGGUUGGUUUUGGCAGCAUCAAGCUUGGUGCGCGAGACGGUCGAUAAGAGUGCCUGAACGAAGCUUGUUUGUGAGAUUCAUGGCGGUGGUGGGAGUGAUAGGUAGGGUAUGAUCUGGGAUAAUUCCGACGCUGGGGAGUGUGGAGUUGAUGAUUUCGAUGGCGGUAGAUUCGCAAUUCCGCCAGUACUCCUCCCACCACCACUCUUCCCUCUAGACCGUAUCUUUCUCACAACCGAACCCAUGGAUUUAGAAGAAGAUGGAUUAGGAUUUGGGGGUGGCUAGAGGUGAGAGUGAAUAUGAAGAUCAUGAAGGUGGAUUUUGGCCUUUUGGGUUAGGGUUUUGAAUUAAGGGCUGGGGUUGGAGUUGGGUCUAGGUCUAGGUCAAUUGUGCGGCUUUUCAUUUCGCAAAUUACUAAUUGAACAUGAAAAAUUAACAGAAAGAUUCUACCACAUGGGUUUGUGAAUUUUUUGGGGGUAAAUUUCACUAACCUCCCAAAGCUUUUUAACAAAUAUAGUCAUCUUUUACUUUAAAACCAAUAUCAAAAUUCUUUCUUACACCUAAUUUUUUUGCAAAAAAAAAAAAAGCAAACUUGCUAUUUGAUUUAGGACUUUCAAAACUCAAUACGCCUAUCAAGAUAAAUAAAUAUUCUAUAUUUGUUUUAAAAAAAUGAUAAAAAAGUUUAUUUCCUAAGUGUGUUUAGGUUAGGGGUACUUAAAAAUUAAAUAUUUAUAUAAUUUUUUUAAAAAAAAAUUAUUGAUACUGAAAGUUUUAAUUUUUUAAGUACAUUUUCAUUAGGAGUCCUUAAAAAUAAACUAUUUAGAUUAUUUUUUUUCAAAAAAAAAUCUUUAUUGGUAAAAAGUAAAAUAGAGUAGUUUACAAAUAAAUGGUGUUUUGAGGGAAAAAAAUG
rnacentral:lncRNA from 1 species